UUGAAUGGCCUCAUGGCCUUCAUCACCCCUACCCUUGUGGAUCGAAGACGUGCCUUCGGCCCCAGCGGCCGACUUUUAUGCCGUAGAUUGUGUCCGACAUGAUCAUUAGAAUCA
rnacentral:misc_RNA from 1 species